rnacentral:rRNA from 1 species
UGGGGAAUUUUGGACAAUGGGCGAAAGCCUGAUCCAGCAAUGCCGCGUGUGUGAAGAAGGCCUUCGGGUUGUAAAGCACUUUUGUCCGGAAAGAAAUGGCUCUGGUUAAUACCUGGGGUCGAUGACGGUACCGGAAGAAUAAGGACCGGCUAACUACGUGCCAGCAGCCGCGGUAAUACGUAGGGUCCAAGCGUUAAUCGGAAUUACUGGGCGUAAAGCGUGCGCAGGCGGUUGUGCAAGACCGAUGUGAAAUCCCCGAGCUUAACUUGGGAAUUGCAUUGGUGACUGCACGGCUAGAGUGUGUCAGAGGGGGGUAGAAUUCCACGUGUAGCAGUGAAAUGCGUAGAGAUGUGGAGGAAUACCGAUGGCGAAGGCAGCCCCCUGGGAUAACACUGACGCUCAUGCACGAAAGCGUGGGGAGCAAACAGGAUUAGAUACCCUGGUAGUCCACGCCCUAAACGAUGUCAACUAGUUGUUGGGGAUUCAUUUCCUUAGUAACGUAGCUAACGCGUGAGGUUGACCGCCUGGGGAGUACGGUCGCAAGAUUAAAAGCUCAAAUGA